GUAUAUAUGUCUAUUUAUUAUUUGGGGUUGGCAACAGCAUUCAAUCAGUCUUUCAGAGUGUCCUCUUAUGAGCUGUCAACAAAACCUCCCUAAUUUGUGUUCUUGGCAGCUGAAUCCAACCACCAUUGGAAACCAAAUUGCUGGGCUUUGGAAAGUCCAGCCCAUCCAUCUAGCAGCCUAUUUUCUUAGGGACUCGGAUGAUCCCUGGAGACCCUCCCCUUUAAGCCCCUCUUAGCAUUACUGUGCAAAAAGAGAUGAUUAAGAAAUGAAUACUAUUUUAAGAAUAUGUGAGUGGUUCUCAUCAUACUCUCCAGAUUCUGUCUAGAGUAGGAGCAAAGACUCAAAGAUUUGUAGGUUUGGAGGUUCAACAAAUCAGGAAAAUACUCCCUAAACUAAUGUUAAUGAAAUGAAUAGAGGGGGAAGUAAGAAACGAGGUUGACAAGAUGACUGGGAGUCUCGUUAUGGUUCUACCUUGCUGUUGGGAGAACAAGCUCUGAGUAACAGCUAUGAUGAUAGGGAGUUAUUUUCAUGAGGGCACUCUAUGUGAACAACUCCCUCUCCUGAAAAGCCAGGCUGCCUCGUGCCAGGGAGCCAGCACCACCCCCACUACUUCUGCUGCCCAGUGCCUGAGGUUGAAAAAUGUGAGGCAGCUGGGGAAGAUGAGAGCCAGGCAUCCUUCUCUUAUUUGUUUAACCACGCUGCUGGCCUAGGUGCAAUCACAGUUUUUCAUUUACAUGAUCUGCUAAUUGGAAAUCCGUGCCUACCCAGCCUUGGUCCAUGCUUAGAUGCUCUUGCUGCUGGCCUUGGAUAUUUCAUUCCAAAUAUACCCUGGGUGCCAAUAAUGAUAAAAAAAACAAAAACAAAAAAACCCACUUGAGAACAGUGUUGUUAGACCUUAGCAUGCAAAAGAAGCACCUGGUAUACUUGAUGAAACCCAUACUCUCAGGCCAGCCCCAAAAGAUUCUGAUUUAAUAAGUCUGAGAUUUUACUUUGAGUGAGGUAUAAGUGCCUUUGAGAGAGUUGCUAUAAGAAGAGGUCGUCAUUACUUUCCAUUCAAUCAAGUCAAUAAUAGAUGUUAAUUGGAAACUAACUUCCCCAGAUCUAAACUCUAAUGCAAUUGGAAAAAGGACCUCUCAACACUCACAGAGCAAGGAGAAGACAUAAUGAUCUCCAGAAUGAAUUUCCAAGAUCAAAGCAGAACUAAGUGUGCCUGUGAAUGUAAAAACAGGUAACAUUGGAGAGCUGUGAUCAUAAAGAAGUCAUUAAACCAAUUGAUCACCAUGUCAUUUUGGCUGUGGUUCUAAAUGAUUUUUUGUUGUUGUUGUUUGAAGUAUCUGGCACAAGAUAAAGAGAGAUUCUGCUGUAAGGAACAGUAAAUGACUUACCUUUUCUGCUAUUUGUUUUCUAGACAGAAAUUAGUUUAAACUGCACCCAAGAUGUUCCCAGGUUGGAUGUUGCUGCAUGAAAUAGAUUAAAAGUAACAUGGUAGAUUUCAUGGAAUGGGCAUGUGAGGAGUCCCAAGUACCCUUUCCCCAAGGAAAUACUAUUUAACUAC